rnacentral:rRNA from 1 species
GCUCCAAUAGCGUAUACUAAAGUUGUUGCAGUUAAAAAGCUCGUAGUCGAAUGAAGGUUUCUUGAACUGCGCGAACUUCUAGGUGUAACCUAGACUAGUUUGUGCACAAGAACCUCCUUGUAGUUGAUUAAAUCCAAUUGGAUCUAAUUGUCUACAUGCAUUACUGUGAACAAAAUAGAGUGUUCAUGGCAGGUCAAUUU